AAAUUCCGGGAGUCAGGUGACCUGGCCCCGGAGCUGCUCCCUGGACCUGCGGGAGGUGCUCUGCGACCGCCCACGCCCCGGCCCGCGGCGCGUCCCGGACGUCCACGCUUGCGUUUCUGCGGAUCGUGGGAAUCCUUCUGCGUGGGAGUUUUAGAAAUGCUAACCGAGCUCAGGUUUUGAACAUGUCUGGGACUGUGAAUUGGCUGCCAGAAUGAAAACAGUUUAGGCUAAUCCCUACGGGUAUGCUGCUGCCAAGUUGGUUCUUUUACUGUGCUCAUCAGAAGUGCCAGAAAAAUACCCGCACCCGCCCCCCAUUUAGCCUCUGGAAGAAGAUGUUCUAAAGGGCUCACAAACAUCCAGAUGUAGCUCUUACCAAGCUCCAGCGUCAGAAGGAGUGCCUCAGCGUCUAAGUCCGUAUAUACACACACGGCUUUUCAUGCAUCCUCUGCUGGGGAGGUCACAAUCUGAGGCACCCUUUAAAGCCACUUCUGGGAGAAAAGAAAGAGAAAAAAAAAAAUCAACCACUGAACGUCUAGUGAGCUGUUUCCUAAGGAGGCAUCAACAAACUCCUACCAGCCCCAGUCCUCAGUAACGUCAUGAGAUGGGCUGCUUGUGGUUGUCAAAACUGAUCUUCCCACUGCGGGUGAACACGUACGGCGGAUUGUUAUGGCUUAGGGCGCUUGACUGCACCGCUGUGAAAAUAUUCAGCAGAAUUCCACAAGCUCUUUGUUUGCCUUGCCUUAGUGGAAAUUCCUCCAGCUAUCCAAACACGCACCUGGGGGAGGUGUUUUUUUUUUCCCCCUCCACAUUUCAGGAAGGGGUUUCUUCUAAGUAAAAAUGUGUCCUUACCUCUCUUCUAAGUUCUCAGGCAAGACUUCUGGUUUGAGUUGAAGAUGACUAUGAAUGUGUUCUGGUUGGAAAGGGAGGUGGAGUUGGAGGAGCCGGAGAGGUCUGUAGCAAAUGUUCCUCCAACAGAGCUAAGCUGGGAAAAGGAAAGCCAAUGGAAGCCAACAAAGAAGGAAGCACGAAGCAAGGCUCCCCCAGAUUCCUAGAAGCCCAGGAACACAAAAGCCAGGAAGAUGAAUCGUCUUUUACAGUAGUAGACCUGUAUAUAGGAACGGGGAAGAUUCUAGGGUGAAAGAUCCGGGCUGCCGCUGGUCACCCAGAAGGGAGUAUGUACCUUGAGUUUCGUAACACGGAAUGGAAGUUUGGAGGCCCCUUGAAAAGAACCAAAGCACAAAGGAAGUUGGGCCUGAAGAAGGCUGGGAGACCUCUCACGCAGAGACCCAGGGCUCAGGACAGAGAAAGGAAGGUAGAACGCCAAGUGGAUCUCAUAUUUGCUCUGCGGGCUUCUGGGAAGUGUUUGAAAACAUUCUAUUUAAACUGUGCCUCUUAAGAGAGCUCUCCACUUACAUCUAACUCAGUGUGCUCAUAUUAGCAAAUAGAAAUUAUGGGAACAUUCCAAGUGCUCCCCGCCUUCCUGGUCCUCCCUCCCUGACCCCGAUAGUCUGUCCUGCCUGGAGUCUGGGCGAAUGUUUGUUUCUGAGGGAUGGAAACUGAUUAAAAACUAGAAGGCUGCUUGGGAAAAAUUUUAUAAUAGCAUGUGUGAGGUGAGUUCCACAGAAGGCUAGGGAGGGCAGGAAGGCCCCGUGCAGCCAGGGCUCCAUGCAGGCCAUCUGAAAAAAGAGGCUCCUCUUCCAACCCAGAGCUGUUGUCUUAAUUGUGGUGGAACUGCUUUUCAUAUUCCCUUAGCUUUUUAACACUAAACCAAGAUGAGAAAUUGAGAAAUGAACAUUUGUUUGGUUUUUUUUCUUUUUUUCUUUUUUUUUUUUUUUUUGAGACAGGGUUUCUCUGUGUAGCCCUGGCUGUCCUGAACUCACUCUGUAGACCAGGCUGACCUCGAACUCAGAAAUCCACCUGCCUCUGCCCCCCAAUUAAAGGCGUGCGCCACCACUGCCCGGCUUGAACAUUUGUUUUCAAGCACAUAAGGCUGAUGUGUUCAGGUAGUACGUUUAAUACUCGAUUGGUGGCAUAUAUAUAUUAAAAGGGAUGUUAAAUUGCUCAAUCUUUCCUGGCUGUUCAUUUUGGACAGUCAACAGUUCAUGCCAUGGAAAGCAGGAGCUUUCUGCCUGGCACAGAAUGAAAGCAAAACUAAUACCUUUAUCAAUAAUGUGGAGAAGGCUCUGAGGGUCGUAAAAGCUAUGGGAAAGGGUGGAACCUAGAGAAUGUCUGUCAUUCAUAGGCUGUGGCUUACAGGAUGCUAUUGGCUAGAGCUCAUAAAGAAACUUUAUCCACUAUGAUGUAAAUUAUAAAUUAAACAU
rnacentral:lncRNA from 1 species